rnacentral:rRNA from 1 species
UGGGGAAUCUUGGACAAUGGGCGCAAGCCUGAUCCAGCCAUGCCGCGUGAGUGAAGAAGGCCUUAGGGUUGUAAAGCUCUUUUGCCAGGGACGAUAAUGACGGUACCUGGAGAAUAAGCCCCGGCAAACUUCGUGCCAGCAGCCGCGGUAAUACGAAGGGGGCUAGCGUUGUUCGGAUUUACUGGGCGUAAAGCGCACGUAGGCGGGUCGUUAAGUCAGGGGUGAAAUCCCGGAGCUCAACUCCGGAACUGCCUUUGAUACUGGCGACCUUGAGGCUGGAAGAGGUUAGUGGAAUUCCCAGUGUAGAGGUGAAAUUCGUAGAUAUUGGGAAGAACACCAGUGGCGAAGGCGGCUAACUGGUCCAGAUCUGACGCUGAGGUGCGAAAGCGUGGGGAGCAAAC